rnacentral:lncRNA from 1 species
GAGUUACAACUGUCAAAAUUAAAAGUGAUUUUCAUGAAAUUAUACUAAACAAAAACACAUUUAAAAAACUCAAGAACAACCCUAUCAUAAAAACAAAAAAUAAAUUAACACAAUUUUAAUGAAGAAAAACAACCCUAUCAUAAAAACAAAAAAUAAAUUAACACAAUUUUAAUGAAGAAAAAACGCAUAAACUUUCCAUAGAUGCACUUCAUAC